rnacentral:rRNA from 1 species
UACGGAGGAUGCGAGCGUUAUCCGGAUUUAUUGGGUUUAAAGGGUGCGUAGGCGGGAUGCCAAGUCAGCGGUAAAAACGCGGUGCUCAACGCCGUCGAGCCGUUGAAACUGGCGUUCUUGAGUGGGCGAGAAGUAUGCGGAAUGCGUGGUGUAGCGGUGAAAUGCAUAGAUACCACGCAGAACUCCGAUUGCGAAGGCAGCAUACCGGCGCCCUACUGACGCUGAGGCACGAAAGCGUGGGUAUCGAACAGG